rnacentral:rRNA from 1 species
GGCUUAGAGUUUGAUUAUGGCUCAGGACGAACGCUGGCGGCGCGCCUAACACAUGCAAGUCGAACGGGGUUGAGAGGAGCUUGCUUUUCUUGACUUAGUGGCGAACGGGUGAGUAACGCGUGAGGAACCUGCCUCAAAGAGGGGGACAACAGUUGGAAACGACUGCUAAUACCGCAUAAGCCCACGGUCCCGCAUGGGAGAGAGGGAAAAGGAGCAAUCCGCUUUGAGAUGGCCUCGCGUCCGAUUAGCUAGUUGGUGAGGUAACGGCCCACCAAGGCGACGAUUGGUAGCCGGACUGAGAGGUUGAACGGCCACAUUGGGACUGAGACACGGCCCAGACUCCUACGGGAGGCAGCAGUGGGGGAUAUUGCACAGUGGGGGAAACCCUGAUGCAGCGACGCCGCGUGGAGGAAGAAGGUUUUCGGAUUGUAAACUCCUGUCGUAAGGGACGAUAAUGACGGUACCUUACAAGAAAGCCACGGCUAACUACGUGCCAGCAGCCGCGGUAAAACGUAGGUGGCAAGCGUUGUCCGGAAUUACUGGGUGUAAAGGGAGCGCAGGCGGGCUGUCAAGUUGGAAGUGAAAUCUAUGGGCUCAACCCAUAAAUUGCUUUCAAAACUGAUGGUCUUGAGUAGUGCAGAGGUAGGCG